AUCUUGCUGGAGAUCCUUGCUUACCUGUGGCCUUCUGAAGAAUGCAAUAACUGAAUGACUCUCAACCAUGCACUCGUGAAACCUCACUGUAACUUCUGCAUAUGAAACUCCAUUGACUCAUACUUUUAUAGUUUUCUCCUUGCUGUGAAGUUGAAAACGGAAGAUUUGUAUUAGAAAGCUGAUGCAGAUCCGGUCCAAUCUAUCGUUCUGAUUUUUCAAACACCUGAGCCUGAAGCGGGGAAGCUUCUUCAUCUGUGUUCUUACACAACCUCUAUCAAGCAUCAGCUGGUCACAUGGGCAAGAUUUUCAAAAGUGGCCACUGAUUAUCUGUUUCCUUUAUAAUACAUGACUUUUCAGGCAGUACUGGCACUGAUUUUCUCAGUUAUAAGAAAGAGGGGCUGGAAGAAAAUUUGCAGUAGGGGACACAUAGAACUGGGACAAUCUGGAGCAAUGAAGAGGAGAGGGAAUGUAUAUAGCAGCUGGGAAAGUGGUGCGAGUGGAGAUGAAUUGGUGUCCAGUGUAAGGUGGUAUAUAGUCCCAGCACUUCUCAGAGCAUCUAACCCAUGCGCCAGCAUUUCUCUGACAAGAUUAAAUAACAAGUAAAGGUUUUCACAGUGAGAAUCCUAACUUUUCAUUUGAUUGGAUUUUAAUAAGGCACAAAUAAAUAUAUCAUAUAAGGAUACGUGAGAAAGUGCAGAGGUCAAAGGAGGAGACAUAAGAAAAGGUAUUCCUAUCCUCUUUCUGCUCCAUCAGGGUUCACAUCUUUACUUUGAUCGUUACCAUGAAAUAUAAAUUUCUUAUGGAGACACUUGCUGAAAUUUUUGUGGAUUGUUCUGGUGGCUCAGGCUGCAAAGAGAAGUGUGAUAUCCUCUGAAGCAGAUAACUGAAUGUGUUCCUGUAGGAGACUUAGAGAACUUAUAGACAACGCCUGAAGCCAGAAGACUUGACACCAGCCUCUGUCCUGGUCAGAUGUAUGUAGGUCAUAUUUUCAUAUGAGAGCUCCCUGCUGGACAGGAGCUCCUUACUCUUGUUAGCGUUCUACCACCUUGAUGAUAUAAGGUGCCCAUCAAAGUCUAUCAGAUCAAACCUCAUUUCAGUAAUCCCUGUUGAUGCGAGGUUAAGAACUUUAAACCAAUGCUGCAAAUUGCUGCAGUCUCACAGCUGCUGUAAACUGUAUCUUAUUUGGGCUGGAUCGAUAGGAUCCAAAGUCUCCUUAUAUUCUGCUCUUUCUUUCACCAAGAAAUAUGCUUGUUAUUAUUCUUCUGUCUUAAGCAAAGAUAUCAUGGCGCAGAGAAAUAGGGCAUCAUUAUUCUUCCCACAUAAAGCACGGAAACCUUUACCCAUAGCACAUUUAUGCAGUAACAUCCAAGCCUAUAUCUGUUCCUUGCUUAGAUCUGACUGCAGUCUGUCCCCUCAUCUCCACCUCAUAUAGGAGUGUCACGUAAGGGGAACAGCUCAUGAGUUUAAGUCUUCGUGGCACAUAGAAACGUUGGUGUUCCCUGUUAGGGUUUGUUGCAUGUGAGGAGUAAAUUAUCUUGCCUGUAAUAUUCUGGCAAUGAGUAUUUUUUUGGAGAUUGAUUAAAUGUUUCAGCUUUGCUCAGUCUAUUAAUCUCAGCAGCCAUUUAUUUUAUUGCUUUAUAUACUACAGUGCAUUUGGGAUUAUCCCUUAAGCACUGUGUGUAGAAAGCAUGUAGCAGCAAGAUACAAAUCGUGCAUCUUGGAAAUGCUUCUCUGAAAAUGAAGAAAGGAUCUGUCAGUAAAAGGCAUGAUGGUUAAUAUUGGUGCUGGAAGCCUCAACACUUUGUCAUCAGUAUCAUGAGCCUCCAUUUCCCACAGCAAAUGAAUGAUACAAACUAUGGAGAACCUAGUGUGCCACUGAUGCACAGACAUUGCACGUCUGUUAAUUCCU
ensembl:lncRNA